CAUUCUGUUAGGAAGCAUCAAUGUGUUGUGACCGUUGUUACGGUCAAUUUGCAAAUUGAAAAAAUGACCGUAAUCCCGUUCACAAUACAUUGUUCGUUUUCUCCAAAGGUGAU
rnacentral:pre_miRNA from 15 species